ACGCUCGACACCUGCGGAAGGCAGCAGUGGGGAAUAUUGCACAAUGGGGGAAACCCUGAUGCAGCGACGCCGCGUGAGCGAAGAAGUAUUUCGGUAUGUAAAGCUCUAUCAGCAGGGAAGAAACUGACGGUACCUGACUAAGAAGCACCGGCUAAAUACGUGCCAGUAGCCGCGGUAAUCUGAGCGGGCUGGCAAGGC
rnacentral:rRNA from 1 species